rnacentral:lncRNA from 1 species
UUGUUUAUUUCUUUAUUAAUUGCUACCCGUAUUAUUUCGGGCGGCUCCUUCCUCUCUUUAAUUUGUUUUAGGGCCUUCUCCGCCACUUCAUAUAUACCUUGGUCCUUAAUUUUUGCGACAUAGGUAUACCAUUCUCUCCUUACAGUUGCCAUGGAGCUUCUGUUCCCAUUUUCUAUGUACUCUACGUUUCCCUCUUGACAACCCUCUAUGAUUUCAUGCACUUCUUCUCUGAUAGUGCGUAUUACGCUUUCUAUUCCACCCUCUUUUAUUUCAUUUUUUGUUACUAUCAGGCAUUCUUUCUUAGCUAUUGUUUCUUGCAAGCCCCCUUGUUCCCAUUUUGUUUUUUCGUAGACUGUUUCCUCCCACCUCUUUUCAUAUAUUUGGUUGAAGUCAUUUAUGUCCCCCCCCUUUGUUUAAUACUUCAAUUAUCUUCUCAGUCUCCUUUCUUUGCUUUUCUCGCUCUAUUUUUAUUUUGCAUUGUUCGCAUCUAAUGCUCUCCUCCUCCGCUUGUGUCUUCUUACUUUGGUUUAGGCCUGUUUUGUUCUGAUUAUAUAUUUCCCCAAUCAGAUUUCUAGUUCUUAUUUUGUGUUCCCCCUGUAUGGGACCUUUAUUGUUUAAUAUUUCCAAUACUUGUUUUAGCUUUCUCAGGAUCCUUUCAUUUUCUGUCUCCUCGGGGUAUUCGGCGGUCUCUUC